GAUGAACGCUGGCGGCGUGCCUAAUACAUGCAAGUAGAACGCUGAAGGAGGAGCUUGCUCUUCUGGAUGAGUUGCGAACGGGUGAGUAACGCGUAGGUAACCUGCCUGGUAGCGGGGGAUAACUAUUGGAAACGAUAGCUAAUACCGCAUAACAGUAGAUAUUGCAUGAUGUCUGCUUGAAAGGUGCAAAUGCAUCACUACCAGAUGGACCUGCGUUGUAUUAGCUAGUUGGUGAGGUAACGGCUCACCAAGGCGACGAUACAUAGCCGACCUGAGAGGGUGAUCGGCCACACUGGGACUGAGACACGGCCCAGACUCCUACGGGAGGCAGCAGUAGGGAAUCUUCGGCAAUGGACGGAAGUCUGACCGAGCAACGCCGCGUGAGUGAAGAAGGUUUUCGGAUCGUAAAGCUCUGUUGUAAGAGAAGAACGAGUGUGAGAGUGGAAAGUUCACACUGUGACGGUAUCUUACCAGAAAGGGACGGCUAACUACGUGCCAGCAGCCGCGGUAAUACGUAGGUCCCGAGCGUUGUCCGGAUUUAUUGGGCGUAAAGCGAGCGCAGGCGGUUAGAUAAGUCUGAAGUUAAAGGCUGUGGCUUAACCAUAGUACGCUUUGGGAAACUGUUUAACUUGAGUGCAAGAGGGGAGAGUGGAAUUCCAUGUGUAGCGGUGAUAUGCGUAGAUAUAUGGAGGAACACCGGUGGCGAAAGCUGCUCUCUGGCUUGUAACUGACGCUGAGGCUCGAAAGCGUGGGGAGCAAACAGG
rnacentral:rRNA from 1 species